UACAGAGGGUGCGAGCGUUAAUCGGAAUUACUGGGCGUAAAGCGUGCGUAGACGGCUAUCUAAGUCGGGUGUGAAAGCCCCGGGCUCAACCUGGGAAUUGCAUUCGAGACUGAAUAGCUAGGGUGCGGUAGAGGGAAGCGGAAUUUCCGGUGUAGCGGUGAAAUGCGUAGAUAUCGGAAGGAACAUCAGUGACGAAAGCGGCUUCCUGGACCAGCACCGACGUUCAGGCACGAAAGCGUGGGGAGCAAACAGG
rnacentral:rRNA from 1 species